AAGAUCUCAAACUGUUUUUUGUUUUUUUUAUAUUUAUUUCAUAACCACAUAGGACUUCAAAGCCCAUAGCAUGGCCAAAGAUACUUCUUAAUCAGUUAUACAUGGCAGAAGAACAGUUUAAUGGUUGCUAGGCAACCAUCUAUGCACAUACUUCAGGCAUCUGGAAAUGGCCUCAGUGCUGGACAUCAGGCAUGAGCAGCUGGGUUGAGAGGUCCAUCUGAGACUUGGCUCAUAUACUGCCUCUAGUCUAAUUCAGGCAGACCUGGUGGCCUCCAGAUGGACUGUGGCUGCCAACAUCCACAGAAAGGCCAGUUGCAGUUAUGGCUUAGGAUGACAGAGAGUUGUAGUUCAAGAGGUCUAUAGGGCACCGGCUCCUGAAGGCUGCUGUAAAGCCAUACUACUAAUUAGUCAAAAGAUGAAGUCAGCUCUAUGUGAUAUCCUAUCUGGGUGUCAGUGCCCAACUAAGCAGUAAAGUACUACUUGCUAUUGAGAAAAGAAGGGAGGAUGAAAGAUCACAGGAUCAAAAGAUCUGCAGUGUGUGGAAAGGUAAAUGAACAGGACUUCCCUUGGUCAGUCGAACAAACAUCUGUGACAGGGCAAGAUAGCAAGCCAAGCCAAGGAUGAGAAGAAUAGCAUGGAGCUGGGGCUGGGAUUUCUGGAUACAGUAUAUCACAAUCUUGAGGAUCCUGACGGAGAAAGACUGGCCUUCCCAUUCUGCAAACAUCUAAAUGACACCUAUCAUCCCUACUACAGUCCUUCCUAGUUGUAUAAAAUCUAUUUCAUUGGUAAUUUAGGCAUUAAACAAAGUCACACAAUUGGAGCCUUGUUCCUGAUGCAGGAUUAUUCUAAAAGACUAGAACUAACACAAGCAGCGGGGAAGAGGAUGAAAAACGGAACUGUGUAUUAGAAAAUGUUUGGAAAAGGGUGAAAUCUCAGUGGCAGCUCAGCUGAAUAGAAGACUGGUAAAGAUCAAUUUCUGAAGAGGAAAUGUAGCCACUAGGAAGUCCUUCCCUUCAGUUUUUAAUGGAUUGUGCCUAGCAAAACUUGAAGCAGAAAGAGAUUGCUGAUGAAAUUGAACCACUUUUUAAAAAUGAAAAUAGAAUAGCUCACAUCAUUCAGAAAGUACUGCUUUAAGUUGGAAGUGUCUGUAUUUGGGAAAGGAGAUUCUACAGAUAACAGCCAGCACAGUUAACACUUAAAAUGAAAUUAAUAGCUAUCAUUGUAGAAAUUCAAUGCAUAUUGUUCUCCACACUCUUGAGUGAAGUUAUUAAGUAGUACUUUAUGUUGUUAAAA
rnacentral:lncRNA from 1 species